GAAUUCGAUUCGGUGUGACAAGGCCCGGGAACGUAUUCACGGCGUCGUUCUGAUACGCCAUUACUAGCGAUUCCAGCUUCAUGCAGGCGAGUUGCAGCCUGCAAUCCGAACUGAGACCGGUUUUUUGCGAUUAGCUCCCCCUCGCGGGUUUGCAGCGCUUUGUACCGGCCAUUGUAGCACGUGUGUAGCCCUGGACAUAAAGGCCAUGAUGACUUGACGUCAUCCCCACCUUCCUCUAACUUAUCGCUGGCGGUUUCCUGAGAGUGCACCUUUUAAGGGGUUAGCAACACAGGACAAGGGUUGCGCUCGUUGCGGGACUUAACCCAACAUCUCACGACACGAGCUGACGACAGCCAUGCAGCACCUCGACUACUGUCCCUUGCGGGAAAGCCAGUGUUUCCACCGGCCGUCAGCAGCCGUUCGAGCCCAGGUAAGGUUCUUCGCGUUAAUCACUA
rnacentral:rRNA from 1 species